rnacentral:rRNA from 1 species
UACGUAGGGACCGAGCGUUGUCCGGAUUCAUUGGGCGUAAAGAGCUCGUAGGCGGCCACUCAAGUCGAAUGUGAAACCUCGAGGCUUAACCUCGAGCCUGCAUUCGAUACUGGGCGGCUAGAGUCUGGUAGGGGGAUCUGGAAUUCCUGGUGUAGCGGUGGAAUGCGCAGAUAUCAGGAGGAACACCGAUGGCGAAGGCAGCUCGCUGGGACGGUACUGACGCUGAGGCGCGAAAGCAUGGGGAGCGAACAGG